CGGAGGGGCUAGCGUUGUUCGGAAUUACUGGGGCGUAAAGCGCACGUAGGCGGCUUUGCAAGUUAGAGGUGAAAGCCCGGGGGCUCAACCCCGGAAUUGCCUUUAAGACUGCAGGGCUAGAAUCCAGGAGAGGUGAGUGGAAUCCGAGUGUAGAGGUGAAAUUCGUAGAUAUUCGGAAGAACACCAGUGGCGAAGGCGGCUCACUGGACUGGUAUUGACGCUGAGGUGCGAAAGCGUGGGGAGCAAACAGGAUU
rnacentral:rRNA from 1 species